AUUGAACGCUGGCGGCAGGCCUAACACAUGCAAGUCGAGCGAGCGGCGGACGGGUGAGUAAUGUCUGGGAAACUGCCUGAUGGAGGGGGAUAACUACUGGAAACGGUAGCUAAUACCGCAUACCAUCAGAUGUGCCCAUAUGGGAUUAGCUUGUAGGUGGGGUAACGGCUCACCUAGGCGACGAUCCCUAGCUGGUCUGAGAGGAUGACCAGCCACACUGGAACUGAGACACGGUCCAGACUCCUAAGGGAGGCAGCAGUGGGGAAUAUUGCACAAUGGGAGCAAGCCUGAUGCAGCAAUGCCGCGUGUAUGAAGAAGGCCUUCGGGUUGUAAAGUACGUUCAGCGGGGAGGCGUUACUGACAGAAGAAGCACCGGCUAACUCCGUGCCAGCAGCCGCGGUAAUUC
rnacentral:rRNA from 1 species